rnacentral:rRNA from 1 species
CCUACGGGUGGCAGCAGUAGGGAAUAUUGCUCAAUGGGGGAAACCCUGAAGCAGCAACGCCGCGUGGAGGAUGAAGGUUUUCGGAUUGUAAACUCCUUUUGUUAGAGAAGAUAAUGACGGUAUCUAACGAAUAAGCACCGGCUAACUCCGUGCCAGCAGCCGCGGUAAUACGGAGGGUGCAAGCGUUAUACGGAAUUACUGGGCGUAAGGAGCGCGUAGGCGGGAUAGCAAGUCAGAUGUGAAAUCCUAAGGCUUAACCAUAGAACUGCAUUUGAAACUGUUAUUCUAGAGAAUGGGAGAGGUAGGUGGAAUGCUUGGUGUAGGGGUAAAAUCCGUAGAGAUCAAGAGGAAUACUCAUUGCGAAGGCAACCUGCUAGAACAUAACUGAUGCUGAUGCACGAAAGCGUGGGGAGCAAACAGGAUUAGAUACCCUUGUAGUC